GAGGUUAAGCGACUAAGCGUACACGGUGGAUGCCCUGGCAGUCAGAGGCGAUGAAGGACGUGCUAAUCUGCGAUAAGCGCCGGUAAGGUGAUAUGAACCGUUAUAACCGGCGAUUUCCGAAUGGGGAAACCCAGUGUGACUCGUCACACUAUCAUUAACUGAAUCCAUAGGUUAAUGAGGCGAACCGGGGGAACUGAAACAUCUAAGUACCCCGAGGAAAAGAAAUCAACCGAGAUUCCCCCAGUAGCGGCGAGCGAACGGGGAGGAGCCCAGAGCCUGAAUCAGCAUGUGUGUUAGUGGAAGCGUCUGGAAAGGCGCGCGAUACAGGGUGACAGCCCCGUACACAAAAGCGCAUGUGCUGUGAGCUCGAUGAGUAGGGCGGGACACGUGGUAUCCUGUCUGAAUAUGGGGGGACCAUCCUCCAAGGCUAAAUACUCCUGACUGACCGAUAGUGAACCAGUACCGUGAGGGAAAGGCGAAAAGAACCCCGGCGAGGGGAGUGAAAAAGAACCUGAAACCGUGUACGUACAAGCAGUGGGAGCACCCUUUGGGGUGUGACUGCGUACCUUUUGUA
rnacentral:rRNA from 1 species